rnacentral:rRNA from 1 species
AGCGAACGCUGGCGGCAGGCCUAACACAUGCAAGUCGAACGAACCUUUCGGGGUUAGUGGCGGACGGGUGAGUAACACGUGGGAACGUGCCUUUAGGUUCGGAAUAACUCAGGGAAACUUGUGCUAAUACCGAAUGUGCCCUUCGGGGGAAAGAUUAAUCGCCUUUAGAGCGGCCCGCGUCUGAUUAGCUAGUUGGUUGAGGUAAUGGCUCACCAAGGCGACGAUCAGUAGCUGGUCUGAGAGGAUGAUCCACUACAUUGGGACUGAGACACGGCCCAAUCUCCUACGGGAGGCAGCAGAAUGUUGUCUUACGCGAUGAGCGAUGGCCUGGCACAGCCGUGCCGCGUGUAUGAUGAAUGGCUUAGUAUUGUAAAAUUCUUUCGCCAGAGGCGAUAAUGACGGUACCCGGAGAAGAAGCCCCGGCUAACUUCGUG